UCUUCGGGGAUGAUUAAACCGGCGCACGGGUGAGUAACACGUGAGUGACCUGCCUUUUAGACUGGAACAACUUACCGAAAGGUGAGCUAAUGCCGGAUGAGUUAUAUAAGUGCAUGUUUAUAUAGGAAAAGUUGGGGAGACCUGACGCUGAAAGAUGGACUCGCGUCCCAUUAGCUAGUUGGUAGGGUAAUGGCCUACCAAGGCGACGAUGGGUAGCCGGCCUGAGAGGGUGGCCGGCCACACUGGGACUGAGACACGGCCCAGACUCCUACGGGAGGCAGCAGUGGGGAAUUUUGCGCAAUGCUCGUAAGAGUGACGCAGCGACGCCGCGUGAAUGACGAAGGCCUUCGGGUCGUAAAGUUCUUUCGACAGGGAAGAAAAUGCCUAUAAGUAACUGUGUAUGUAUUGACGGUACCUGUAUAAGCAGCCCCGGCUAACUCCGUGCCAGCAGCCGCGGUAAUACGGAGGGGGCGAGCGUUGUUCGGAGUGACUGGGCGUAAAGAGCACGUAGGCGGUGUUGUAAGUCAUUAGUCAAAGACUAGAGCUCAACUUUAGUAAGGCUAGUGAUACUAUAAUACUAGAGUAUCAGAGAGGAUUGCAGAAUUCCUGGUGUAGCGGUGAAAUGCGUAGAUAUCAGGAGGAAUACCGUUAGCGAAGGCGGCAAUCUGGCUGGAAACUGACGCUGAGGUGCGAAAGCGUGGGUAGCAAACAGGAUUAGAUACCCUGGUAGUCCACGCUGUAAACGAUGGAUGCUAGGUGUUGGGCUUUUAAGUUCAGUGCCGCAGCAAACGCGAUAAGCAUCCCCGCCUGGGGAGUACGUUUGCAAGAAUG
rnacentral:rRNA from 1 species